rnacentral:rRNA from 1 species
GAUGAACGCUGGCGGCGUGCCUAAUACAUGCAAGUCGAGCGAACAGACGAGGAGCUUGCUCCUUUGACGUUAGCGGCGGACGGGUGAGUAACACGUGGGUAACCUACCUAUAAGACUGGGAUAACUUCGGGAAACCGGAGCUAAUACCGGAUAAUAUUUCGAACCGCAUGGUUCGAUAGUGAAAGAUGGCUUUGCUAUCACUUAUAGAUGGACCUGCGCCGUAUUAGCUAGUUGGUAAGGUAACGGCUUACCAAGGCAACGAUACGUAGCCGACCUGAGAGGGUGAUCGGCCACACUGGAACUGAGACACGGUCCAGACUCCUACGGGAGGCAGCAGUAGGGAAUCUUCCGCAAUGGGCGAAAGCCUGACAGAGCAACGCCGCGUGAGUGAUGAAGGUCUUCGGAUCGUAAAACUCUGUUAUUAGGGAAGAACAAACGUGUAAGUAACUGUGCACGUCUUGACGGUACCUAAUCAGAAAGCCACGGCUAACUACGUG